rnacentral:rRNA from 1 species
UUCCGGUUGAUCCCGCCGGAGGUCACUGCUAUUGGGAUUCGACUAAGCCAUGCGAGUCGCGAGGGUUCGGCCCUCGGCUGACGGCUCAGUAACACGCGGAUAAUCUGCCCUUAGGUGGAGGAUAACCUCGGGAAACUGAGAACAAGACUCCAUAGAUCUAGGAGGCUGGAAUGCACUUAGAUCAAAAACUUCGGUGCCUAAGGAUGAGUCUGCGGACUAUCAGGUAGUAGUCAGGGUAAUGACCUGACCAGCCUAUGACGGAUACGGGUUGUGAGAGCAAUAACCCGGAGAUGAUAUCUGAGACACGAUAUCAGGCCCUACGGGGCGCAGCAGGCGCGAAAACUUCACACUGUGGGAAAGCACGAUGAGGGAAUCCCAAGUGCUGGCUCGUAAGAGUCAGCUGUUUUUCUGUCUAGAAAACAGAGAGAGUAAGAGCUGGGUAAGACGGGUGCCAGCCGCCGCGGUAAUACCUGCAGCUCAAGUGGUGGCCGCUAUUAUUGGGCCUAAAACGUUCGUAGCCGGUCUAGUAAAUGCCUGGGUAAAUCAUACGGCUUAACCGUACGAAUUCCGGGUAGACUGCUGGACUUGGGACUGGGAGAGGCUAGAGGUACUCCUGGGGUAGAGGUGAAAUUCUGUAAUCCUAGGGGGACGACCAGUGGCGAAGGCGUCUAGCUAGAACAGGUCUGACGGUGAGGAACGAAGCCCUGGGGCGCAAACGGGAUUAGAUACCCCGGUAGUCCAGGGUGUAAACGCUGCUUGCUUGAUGUUAGUCGGGCUCCGAGCCCGAUUAGUGUCGGAGAGAAGUUGUUAAGCAAGCUGCCUGGGGAGUACGGCCGCAAGACUGAAACUUAAAGGAAUUGGCGGGGGAGCACCGCAACGGGUGGAGCGU